ensembl:miRNA
UGGCCAAAAAGUUCGUUGGGGUUUUUCCAUAAGAUGGUAUGGAAAAACCGGAAUGAAUUUUUUGGCCAA